rnacentral:rRNA from 1 species
UACAGAGGGGGCAAGCGUUGUUCGGAAUUACUGGGCGUAAAGGGCGCGUAGGCGCCUUCUAAGUCGAACGUGAAAUCCCCGGGCUCAACCCGGGAACUGCGUCCGAUACUGGAAGGCUUGAAUCCGGGAGAGGGAUGCGGAAUUCCAGGUGUAGCGGUGAAAUGCGUAGAUAUCUGGAGGAACACCGGUGGCGAAGGCGGCAUCCUGGACCGGUAUUGACGCUGAGGCGCGAAAGCCAGGGGAGCAAAGCGGG